rnacentral:piRNA from 1 species
UGCAGAGUGAUAGAUUCUGUCAGCACCUGC